rnacentral:rRNA from 1 species
GACGAACGCUGGCGGCGUGCUUAACACAUGCAAGUCGAACGGUGAAGCGAGUGCUUGCACUCGUGGAUCAGUGGCGAACGGGUGAGUAACACGUGAGUAACCUGCCCAUCACUCUGGGAUAAGCACUGGAAACGGUGUCUAAUACUGGAUACGACCAACCCUUGCAUGGGGUGUUGGUGGAAAGAUUUAUCGGUGAUGGAUGGACUCGCGGCCUAUCAGCUUGUUGGCGAGGUAAUGGCCCACCAAGGCGACGACGGGUAGCCGGCCUGAGAGGGUGACCGGCCACACUGGGACUGAGACACGGCCCAGACCCCUACGGGAGGCAGCAGUGGGGAAUAUUGCACAAUGGGCGAAAGCCUGAUGCAGCGACGCCGCGUGAGGGAUGACGGCCUUCGGGUUGUAAACCUCUUUCAGCAGGGAAGAAGCGAAAGUGACGGUACCUGCAGAAGAAGCACCGGCUAACUACGUG